GUCAGUUGCUCCAGAAGUGGCUGCGCCAACCCGCARRGGAGGCAGGUCCCCAAGGAAGUGGCUGGUGACUGGGGUGAAGUCGUAACAAGGUAGCYGUAGGUGAACCUGCAGAAGGAUCA
rnacentral:rRNA from 1 species